rnacentral:rRNA from 1 species
CCUAGUCCCUACGUUCCGGAUAAUUGACCGAAAGGUCUUGUAAUACGGGGGAGGGUCCUGAUGGGGCAUCUCAUUGGGAAGGAACGUGCAAGCAUUUAUGUUUGUGCGGUGCGGGGAGGGGUUCGCGGAUUAUCAGCUCGUUAGUGAGGUAACGGCUCACCAAGGCGACGACGAUUAGCUGGUCUGAGAGGAUGGUCAGCCACAUUGGAACUGAGACACUGUCCAG